AGUGGCUCCACUGUGUAAGAAUGUCCUAGAGACACCUGGAGAGGGGAGACAGCUCGAAAAAGAGGCAUACAAACAGCGAGACGUCUGCAAAAGACGCCACGUGGAUUUGCCAUUAUCCAUAAUGUCAGAGUCGAGAUCUCUCACGUUGUUCUAACUUCCUCCUACUAAUAAUAGAACAUAGCUACAGAUAUGCAAAUAGCAAAAAGAAUUUGAUUUGUGAUCAACGGUUAAUUAAUCUGAAGAAUAAUAAGUUGGUGUAAAAUGAACAGAGCGUCGAAAGUACCACACACCUGGCAGACCGCUAAGGUUGUUUUCCGUCAUAAUGCUCUGCGGUCGGUCGGCAAAGCAGCUAAUCGCUCCGCUGUCCACGGCACCAAGCUUCCCAUCCCCGACGUUGUGGACAAGGAACAAGUUGAAGUGGAGAUCAAUCAAGCCAGGGAAGUGAAAGAAAAGAAGAGGCGUGAAUUGGAGAAUGCUAUUGAUUCUCAACUGAAGAAUUGGAAUGUUAUACGGUUCUCCAACUAAAGCAGUUAUACUGCACUCGGAUGUAAUAGUCAUAACAUCCAUCUCUAUGUACUUGUUGCUCAUGUAAUCUAAGCAAUGCUGACAUUUGCUUUAA